AUAGCAGUGGCGAAUUUCAGCCCACCGUGACCCGAUCCCGAAAUAAAUCAUUGCGAUCGCAAAGAUCCAGCGUCUAAAAAAAAUUCCCGAUUUACCCCGAAUUUCUCCUAAAGACUAAUCUAAUCUAAUCUAAUCCAACGGCCGACCCCUUAUCACGAAACUAAGCGGAACGGAAAUCAUUGAUCCUCCAUGUCCUUUACGUAAAAAUUGAAAUGCUGCGAAAUUUUUUUUUCUCCGCGCGAUAAAAAUACAACAAACAUGUAAACUUUUUUUAAAAACACAAAAAUUCUUUUUCAGAUAAUUCUUCGUCUCGCGACAAAGCUCGGGAGAGUCUCGUGGAUAAUCUCGUUGGAAUUGUAUUUAGUGUCUAAAUGAAGUUCAGAAUCUUCAAGAAGAGUAUCUUAUUUCCCCUCGGUUUAUCUUGAGCUGUGUCAUCUUCGCGAUCGCAUGAAGAUUAAAUCUCUGACGAGUGUAUGCGGAAGGAGGAUGAAUAAAAAAAUAAUACAACAAAUCACACGCGAGCGAUGCGAACAAUGAAGGCAACGAGUGGGGGAUAAAAUUUUAUCCGACGGGGUUAGACGAAAAUUUAUGCGAACAAAGCCCGAGAGACUCUUCUCUCUCGGGUCACCCGGUACAGUUGUGACCGCGUGUCCCUGCGUGGCGCGUGGAAUCGAUCGACAUCCGCGCGUGGCUACGAUAACGAACGUUGCAAAAUGUUGCAAGGGGAACGGACGGCAAGAGACAGUGCGGCGCGGCGAAGAGGCCGCACGAACGGCGAGAUGAACCGCGUCGCAGAGUCAUUUACAGAGGAAAAAAAAAGUUCGAUACGACGAAUAAAAUUUGCGGUACUACCUUCAAAUUUAAUUAAGCUAAUUCCGGCUUGUAAUAAAAAAUAAUCUUAACUAAUUUUUUUUUUGGGGUCGAUUAGGUUUCUAAUUCAAGUAUUUACGUAUGUUUAAGUUGAAUUUAUAAAUAUUUGAACUGUAGAAAUUUAAUCAAGCCACAGUUGGAAAAAUUGUAUUGAAUUUGACAUAAAUCACAUGUGCCAAACGGUCCACUACAAAUUCUGUGUUAAUUUGACACAAUCUGGACGUGUUAAAUGAUAACAUUAAUUACACAUAAAUAUGUUCAUUACUUACUUAACACAAAAACUUUAACCAGCAGAUUGUUUUUACAAAAAUACACAAAAUUUCCAACAGAGUGCAACAAUUGAUUUACUCAAGUUAAUUAUUUUUCUCUUUUUCCAUUGAAGCUUCCUUUCCCAGAAUUCCGAGCGGUAUCUCAUUCUGUCGAAUGAUACGAGUUCUUAAACGGCCUUGAAUUGAAAUUAUCAUCCAUUCGAAAUAAUGCGAAUAAAGUGUGCACUCCGCACUUUCUCCAGAGAUAAAGAUAAAUCUCCGCUGCUCCUACUUCGCUCUCCGUCGUCAGUAUCGUUUUUAAAACGCGUCUCCGGCGGCAUUCUCUGGAAGAGCGCCAGAGCUUCGUUACAUUGAAAUUCAAUUAUAUACGAAAAAGUUACAUUGAAUUAAAUUUCGACUGUAUUGAAAGCGCGCGGGGGAGAUGCGCCCGAAACUCCGCACGGACAGAAAAGUUCUUUCGCUCUUUCGUACUCGGCAAUUAGCGUGCCUCUCUCUCUCUCUCUUCCUCCCUUUCUCAACCACGGAUUUCCGAUUCUCGUUACUUGAUCCACGAGAACGAGAAGAAACGCGAGCGGCCGCACACACCACGUGCGUCCGUCACGGUCGGCGCGGGAAAAACGCCUCUGCGAAAAUCCCGCCUCCUCUCGUGCGUAAUAUAAGAUUGCAUAAUAAUCCUCACGCGCGUUCUAUUCUCGCGUCGUCCUAACCGGUGUUCGCGGGCACGAAAGUCACGAGGCGAUCGUCCUCGGAACGAGACAGAGAUUUAAAAAGAAAAGAAGAAAGGGGAGAGGGAGAUACACGACGACAGUGCAUCACGUACGGAGAAGAAGGCUAUACCUGAGGAAACUUGGCGCAAGCAGCUGGAGUGGAAACGGGAAUGUUCUUGAGCGAAGCACGUGCUUCGCCGUUGAAUCUCGUGUACAUCUAAUUUUUUUCUUUUUUUUUUUAAAUUGCAUUUUACUGUGCAAAAAAAA